rnacentral:rRNA from 1 species
GACGUAGGGCGCGAGCGUUGUCCGGAUUUAUUGGGCGUAAAGAGCUCGUAGGCGGCUUGUCGCGUCGAAUGUGAAAACUCGGGGCUCAACUCCGAGCUUGCAUUCGAUACGGGCAGGCUAGAGUUCGGUAGGGGAGACUGGAAUUCCUGGUGUAGCGGUGGAAUGCGCAGAUAUCAGGAGGAACACCGGUGGCGAAGGCGGGUCUCUGGGCCGUUACUGACGCUGAGGAGCGAAAGCGUGGGGAGCGAACAGG